AGAGUUUGAUCCUGGCUCAGGAUGAACGCUGGCGGCAUGCCUAAGACAUGCAAGUCGUACGAGGUAGCCCAUUGAAGUUUUAUGCUUGCAUAAAAUUGAUUUGGAUUACUACCUAGUGGCGAAAGGGUGAGUAACACGUGAGUUAUCUACCUCAGAGACUGGGAUAACUAUUGGAAACGAUAGCUAAUACCGGAUGAUAUAUAAAAUGAUAAGUUAUUUUAUAGUAAAAGGAGCCUUAAAGCUUCACUUUGAGAUGAGCUUGCGACGUAUUAGCUUGUUGGUGGGGUAAUGGCCUACCAAGGCGACGAUGCGUAGCCGACCUGAGAGGGUGAUCGGCCACACUGGGACUGAGACACGGCCCAG
rnacentral:rRNA from 1 species